AAGUCGUAACAAGGUUUCCGUAGGUGAACCUGCGGAAGGAUCAUUACCGAACCGUCAAACAUGGGUUGUUGCUGGCCCUCUAACGGGGGCAUGUGCACGCUCUGUUUACGCAUCCACUUCACACCUGUGCACCCUCUGUAGUUCUAUGGUCUGGGGGAUCCUGUCCUCCCUUCCGUAGCCCUGCAUUUUUACACACACACUGUAACAAUGUUUUAUGGAAUGCCUUCUGCGUCUAACGCAAUACAAUACAACUUUCAGCAACGGAUCUCUUGGCUCUCGCAUCGAUGAAGAACGCAGCGAAAUGCGAUAAGUAAUGUGAAUUGCAGAAUUCAGUGAAUCAUCGAAUCUUUGAACGCACCUUGCGCCCCUUGGCUAUUCCUUGGGGCAUGCCUGUUUGAGUAUCAUGAACACCUCAACUCUCAUGGUUUGCCAUGAAGAGCUUGGACUUUGGGGGUUUGCUGGCCGUUCGGUCGGCUCCCCUUAAAUGAAUCAGCUUGCCAGUGUUUGGUGGCGUCGCGGGUGUGAUAACUAUCUACGCUCACGGUCGCCUGCCAGGUAACCUUUGUCGCCAAAGGUUUGCUGGUGCUUACAAACGUCUCUCCUCAGCGAAGACAACUGUUGAACGUUCGAUCUCAAAUCAGGUAGGACUACCCGCUGAACUUAA
rnacentral:rRNA from 1 species